AGAGUUUGAUCCUGGCUCAGAACGUACGCUGGCGGCACGCCUAAUACAUGCAAGUCGAACGAAGUAGCAAUACUUAGUGGCAGACGGGUGAGUAACAUGUAGGUAUCUACCCUUUGGUCUGGAAUAACACGAGGAAACUUGUGCUAAUACCGGAUAAGUCUUUACGGAGAAAGCUUUAUGCACCAUUGGAUGAGCCUGCACUUGAUUAGUUUGUUGGUGGGGUAAUGGCCUACCAAGACAAUGAUCAAUAGCUGAUUUGAGAGGAUGAUCAGCCACAUUGGGACUGAGACACGGCCCAAACUCCUACGGGAGGCAGCAGUAGGGAAUCUUGCACAAUGGAGGAAACUCUGAUGCAACGAUGCCGCGUGAGUGAAGAAGGCCUUUGGGUUGUAAAGCUCUUUCGUCGGGGAAGAAAAUGACUGUACCCGAAUAAGAAGGUCCGGCUAACUUCGUGCCAGCAGCCGCGGUAAUACGAAGGGACCUAGCGUAGUUCGGAAUUACUGGGCUUAAAGAGUUCGUAGGUGGUUAAAAAAGUUGGUGGUGAAAUCCCAGAGCUUAACUCUGGAACUGCCAUCAAAACUUUUUAGCUAGAGUAUGAUAGAGGAAAGCAGAAUUUCUAGUGUAGAGGUGAAAUUCGUAGAUAUUAGAAAGAAUACCGAUUGCGAAGGCAGCUUUCUGGAUCAUUACUGACACUGAGGAACGAAAGCAUGGGUAGCGAAGAGGAUUAGAUACCCUCGUAGUCCAUGCCGUAAACGAUGUGUGUUAGACGUUGGGAAAUUUAUUUUCA
rnacentral:rRNA from 1 species